rnacentral:lncRNA from 11 species
AAAUACUUGAAGCUUGGAAUAACUAGUUGCUGGUAGCAACGUUGGUAUUGAGCUGCAUCCUGAACCUUGAAUGGUGGACUGAAGUCUGGAUGUUGGAUUGUGAACUAUUAUUGCAAACUAUUGGUCAAGCAAGCAUCUUUGAUGAUGUCAGUAAAGGUGCCCAACAAACGCUAGGAGUAUUCUGGAACUUCAUGACCCCCACUAUAGUGGCAAAAAAAUGGCAAAGAACAUAACGAAUGGUGAGAACAGGAUGGAGAGAUUUCAAGGCAGCAAAAUAAAAGGGCCCGUGCAUCAAAGUGAAUUGAGCUUGCUUUGAGGGGUUUUCGGUCUCCCCAUGAUCUGACUUCUCCAGGCAAAGAGUUUGGGGAAUGAUGUCACUCUAGUUUGCAAGGAAGUGCAAAGAACUUGCUCUCAUUCUGUAAAACAGUUGCGCUUAUUCUCCUCUUGCAAGGCACAGUUCUGAAUACUGCUAAUCCGCUUUUUCAAUUGCUUAUAAAAUGUCCCAG